GACGGACGCUGGCGGCGUGCUUAACACAUGCAAGUCGAACGAUGAAGCUAGAGCUUGCUCUGGUGAAUUAGUGGCGAACGGGUGAGUAACACGUGAGUAACCUGCCCCGAACUCUGGGAUAACUGCUGGAAACGGUAGCUAAUACUGGAUACGACCUACGAAGGCAUCUUCUGUAGGUGGAAAGAAUUUCGGUUCGGGAUGGACUCGCGGCCUAUCAGCUUGUUGGUGAGGUAAUGGCUCACCAAGGCGACGACGGGUAGCCGGCCUGAGAGGGGGACCGGCAACGCGGGGACUAGGACACGGCCCAGGCGCCAACGGGAGGCAGCAGUGGGGAAUAUUGCACAAGGGGCGAAAGCCUGAUGCAGCAACGCCGCGGGGGGGAUGACGGCCUUCGGGUUGGAAACCUCUUUUAGUAGGAAAGAAGCGAAAGUGACGGUACCGGCAGAAAAAGCACCGGCUAACUACGGGCCAGCCCCCGCCGUAA
rnacentral:rRNA from 1 species